CCUACGGGUGGCAGCAGUCGAGAAUCAUUCACAAUGGGGGAAACCCUGAUGGUGCGACGCCGCGUGGGGGAAUGAAGGUCUUCGGAUUGUAAACCCCUGUCAUGUGGGAGCAAAUUAAAAAGAUAGUACCACAAGAGGAAGAGACGGCCAACUCUGUGCCAGCAGCCGCGGUAAUACAGCGGUCUCAAGCGUUGUUCGGAAUCACUGGGCGUAAAGGGUGCGUAGGCUGUUUCGUAAGUCGUGUGUGAAAGGCGCGGGCUCAACCCGCGGACGGCACAUGAUACUGCGAGACUAGAGUAAUGGAGGGGGAACCGGAAUUCUCGGUGUAGCAGUGAAAUGCGUAGAUAUCGAGAGGAACACUCGUGGCGAAGGCGGGUUCCUGGACAUUAACUGACGCUGAGGCACGAAGGCCAGGGGAGCGAAAGGGAUUAGAUACCCCUGUAGUC
rnacentral:rRNA from 1 species